GGGGGGGGUUCAGAAAAUUAGUGGGUGAUAUGAAGGUAUGAAUGGGGGGUUAUAUUUUAGUGGUUUAAUAAUAUCAUUUUAUAAAUUUUGUAUCGGUAUGGUAUGUCAGGUAGGCAAUAUCUUCUACAAUUCCUUAUCCUAUUUACAUGUAUUUUUUUCUCCCAUUAAUUGUUUUCUGUUUAUAUGAUGUCUGAAUAAUACUUGAGAAAAUGAGUGCACACUUGGGGAAAUGGAAGGAUAAACUAUUAGAGGAGAGGUAUUUGCAGGAAGCUUGGCCUAUUGUGAAAGGUGCACUGAAAGAACAUGUGAUUUCAUGUGAAUGGUCCGAUGACUGUUUCCACAACUAGAAAGACAUGGGAUCCAUAUAUCAUCGUGAAAUCUAGGGAUCUGAUUAAACUCUUGUCACGAAGUGUCCUUACACCUCAGGCCAUUAAGAUUUUAAACGAUGAAAUGCAAUGUGACAUCAUGAAGAUUGGAGGUUUAGUCCGAAAUAAGGAAAAAUUUCGGAAACGAAGGCAGCAGCUGGUUGAGCCCAAUAUGUCCACUUCAAAGGCCAUUGAUAUUAUUUUACUAUAUUUUGGAUAGAUCAUAGGAAAAUCAUGCAGAAGGACUUGUCAUGUAGCAUCUACAACUGCAACUUAAUGCUACAUUCUGUUUUCUUAUGGUGUUGCUCCAUCCAAGAAUUGUUGAAAAUGUUAGGAGUAUAUGUCAUGUUGCCCAACCUGGAGGUCCAGUAAAUUUAAGGCCAAUAAGAGCAAAAACGGUGUGCUAGUUGCGUGGGAACCAACAAGAUCAUCAAAAUGGUUGGAGAUUCUUUAUUGACAUUGUCAUUGAGAACAAGUACGUUGUGUGCACACCAAAAGCAAUCCAAUCACUCGUUUUAUUUAAGAAGUUAUACCCUGGACAUAGAAGGAAAAAGAUAAAGCUGUCAAUAAGACAUUUAAAAAUUUGUCCAACGAUUCGAAAAGUUGUCAAAUUACUUGAAACACAGCUGGAAAUAACAUCAAUGGAGGGACCUAUUCCUUCUAUAAUAUCUCUAUUGACAAACUUACAAGAAUUGUUACACUGUUCCUGUAGAACAUUCCAAAGAAGUCAGUGACUGUAAACAUCUGAUUAAGACCUUGGUUAUGGGUAGCUUUUUUCCAUAGUGUCUUAGUAAUUUUCUCUAAUGAUGUCAUACCAUUUUCUUAAUUUCUUAUUUUGUUUUGUUACUAGGAAUGAAAACAAUAAUAUGGAGCGUCAUACAUGCACAUCUACACAGAUGCUGUUACCCACUUGGCCUUGCUAAUGUUCUCGUUUGUCUGUUUACAUGUUUGUAGGGGGUAGUGGGCAGACAAUUAGGAGGAAUUGAUGGCAAAUCAAGCAUUUAAAGGAAUCCAACCGUUUCUACAUGUCUUGUUUCUUUGUAAUAAAUAUUAUGUAAUAUUAGUAAUGUAUUACAUUUUGGAAUGAUUAUUUGUAUUUGACAUAUUAGUGGAAUGAAUUAUCUUUCUUAUUUAUUGUA